rnacentral:rRNA from 1 species
AGCGAACGCUGGCGGCAGGCUUAACACAUGCAAGUCGAACGGGCAUCUUCGGAUGUCAGCGGCAGACGGGUGAGUAACACGUGGGAACGUACCCUUCGGUUCGGAACAACUCUGGGAAACUGGAGCUAAUACCGGAUACGCCCUUAUGGGGAAAGGUUUACUGCCGAAGGAUCGGCCCGAGUCUGAUUAGCUUGUUGGUUGGGUAACGGCCUACCAAUGCGACGAUCAGUAGAUGGUCUGAGAGGAUGAUCAGCCACACUGGGACUGAGACACGGCCCAGAAUACUACGGGAGGGAGGAGUGGGGAAUAAAGGAAAAUGGGGGGAAGGCUGAACCAGCCAUGCCGCGAGAGUGAUGAAGGGAUUAGGGUUGUAAAGCAAUUUUGUACGGGAAGAUAAUGACGGUAACGGAAGAAUAAGCCCCGGCUAACUUCGUG